rnacentral:rRNA from 1 species
UACGUAGGGUGCAAGCGUUGUCCGGAAUUAUUGGGCGUAAAGAGCUCGUAGGCGGUCAGUCGCGUCUGCUGUGAAAACUCGGGGCUUAACUCCGGGCCUGCAGUGGGUACGGGCUGACUAGAGUGCGGUAGGGGAGACUGGAAUUCCUGGUGUAGCGGUGAAAUGCGCAGAUAUCAGGAGGAACACCGGUGGCGAAGGCGGGUCUCUGGGCCGUAACUGACGCUGAGGAGCGAAAGCGUGGGGAGCGAACGGG